AUUGAACGCUGGCGGCAGGCCUAACACAUGCAAGUCGAGCGGAUGAAGGGAGCUUGCUCCUGGAUUCAGCGGCGGACGGGUGAGUAAUGCCUAGGAAUCUGCCUGGUAGUGGGGGAUAACGUCCGGAAACGGGCGCUAAUACCGCAUACGUCCUGAGGGAGAAAGUGGGGGAUCUUCGGACCUCACGCUAUCAGAUGAGCCUAGGUCGGAUUAGCUAGUUGGUGGGGUAAAGGCCUACCAAGGCGACGAUCCGUAACUGGCCUGAGAGGAUGAUCAGUCACACUGGAACUGAGACACGGUCCAGACUCCUACGGGAGGCAGCAGUGGGGAAUAUUGGACAAUGGGCGAAAGCCUGAUCCAGCCAUGCCGCGUGUGUGAAGAAGGUCUUCGGAUUGUAAAGCACCUUAAGUUGGGAGGAAGGGCAGUAAGUUAAUACCUUGCUGUUUUGACGUUACCAACAGAAUAAGCACCGGCUAACUUCGUG
rnacentral:rRNA from 1 species